AUGUUACUUCCUCCGUCUAACAAAAGAUGUCUUAAGUUUGUCAAAAAUUUGGAUAUAUCUAGACAUGACUUAGUGUAUAGAUGCAUUUAAAUUUGGUCAAAAUUGAGACAUCCUUUGUUAGACGGAGGGGUUGACUA
rnacentral:pre_miRNA from 1 species